GCCUUGAUCACAAUAAAGAUAAGAACAAGUGGGCCAAAUGGAGUUAGUCCGCAUGGAUUUCAAGCGAAUGGAUCAAAUUCGAGUAACAUUGCCUCAAUAUUGGAGUUUAGGAACUCCAGGUAACAUGGUUGUAUAGUGGCAGGCCUAAAUGUGUCCAAGCUCAAUACAAAUCACACAAUCAAUUACAAGAGAUUAAACAGUGGCUUAAACCCAAUAUGCAUAUGACAACAAUUAUGAGAGAUUAAAUUGUUUUACAAAGUCAGUUUAAAAUCCUAUCCACUUUAACGUACAAAAAUUGGUUAUAUUCAUACUUUAAUUUCAAUAAACUAUGACAUGAAGAUGGGAAAAAACUAAUACAAUGAACCACAUUAUACAAAUAAUAUCUAAUUAAUUCUAAACCCCUUUCUAUGAGCUUCUAUGGGAACAAGCUGUCUCUGGCUGACUGUCCUUCUUAUUUCCAAACCAUUUCUUGAUUCACAAAGGAAUAACCAUUGGGAUAUCCUCUUAAACCAAAUUGGCUAUGAACAGAGCAAUCAGUUAGGAUUAAAUUACCCUGCUAACAUUACUUGAAACAGAAAAUACCAAUCUCAGUAUUUAGUCGGCUAUCAGCAGUAAACAUUAAACUAUCCAUUAACAUCUAACCAGUUGAAUAUCUAACUUUAACCUACUGAUACUUUCAAAGCUUAACAAAGAGGGAAUCUCAGGCCAAUUCAGCAACUAUACAUACUAGGUUCAAACAGUUGAAUAUAAUUAUUAGAGGAUGAAUAGUAUCACAACUUUAACAUGGAAGACCAUUCAAAACGAACUUAAUAAUUGCACAUGAUGAGUCUAUGCAGUUAAACAUAAUUAAGACAUAAACAAAUCAAAUUUUUAAUACAGCAUUCAAACAAGAGUAAUAUGGAUGUGUAAACAUACCUAACUUGCAAAGGAAUAACAAAAAGUAAUCAAAUAAUGUUCUGAAAAAAGAAGAUGAAGUCCAACAACUCCAGGAACAGUAGUAUAUAUCUACCACAGCUUCAGUAUCAGUUCAUAACUUAGCUCACGAAACCAUAACUCAAAGAAAAUUCCUUCCAGAUUUUUGUAAAAGAAAGAAAAAUAGGAAAACUGGAAGCUGAAUUUUUUGUUUUAGUCGAUUUUCAGGUCUGUAUGCUGCUGAGUGUGUGUGUGAGAAUGAGUGAAUGACUUUCUUUUUAUAGUGUAUAUCCAAAAUAGCAUCAAAUAAAUAUUCUACCCUAAAUUCCUUAGAUAGUACAACAUAUUUAACAGAGAAUAAUGGACAACUGUCCAUUUUUCAGCAUAUUUU
rnacentral:lncRNA from 1 species